rnacentral:snRNA from 1 species
UUGCUUUGGCAGCACCUAUAGCAAAAUUGGAAUGAUACAGGGAAGAUUCACAUGGUCCCUGUGAAAGGAUGACGCACAUUCAUAAAGUGUUCCAUAUUUUA